rnacentral:rRNA from 1 species
UACAGAGGGUGCAAGCGUUAAUCGGAUUUACUGGGCGUAAAGCGCGCGUAGGUGGCCAAUUAAGUCAAAUGUGAAAUCCCCGAGCUUAACUUGGGAAUUGCAUUCGAUACUGGUUGGCCAGAGUAUGGGAGAGGAUGGUAGAAUUCCAGGUGUAGCGGUGAAAUGCGUAGAGAUCUGGAGGAAUACCGAUGGCGAAGGCAGCCAUCUGGCCUAAUACUGACACCGAGGUGCGAAAGCAUGGGGAGCAAACAGG